rnacentral:rRNA from 1 species
UCUUGGAUAACUGUGGCAAUUCUAGAGCUAAUACAUGCAGUGAGCCUGGAGCCCUUUGGGUAACGGGUGCUUUUAUUAGACCAAGAUCGAUCGGGUUUCGGCCCGUAUUGUGUGGUGACUCUGGAUAACUUUGUGCUGAUCGCAUGGCCACGAGCCGGCGACGUUUCUUUCAAGUGUCUGCCUUAUCAACUUUCGAUGGUAGGUUACUUGCUUACCAUGGUUGUUACGGGUAACGGAGAAUCAGGGUUCGAUUCCGGAGAGGGAGCCUGAGAAACGGCUACCACAUCCAAGGAAGGCAGCAGGCGCGCAAAUUACCCACUCCCGGCACGGGGAGGUAGUGACGAAAAAUAACAAUACGGGACUCUUUUGAGGCCCCGUAAUUGAAAUGAGUACUCUAAAUCCUUUAACGAGGAUCAAUUGGCAAGUCUGGUGCCAGCAGCCGCGGUAAUUCCAGCUCCAAUAGCGUAUACUAAAGCUGCUGCGGUUAAAAAGCUCGUAGUUGGAUCUCAGUUCCAGACGAGUAGUGCAUCUACCCGAUGCGACGGCUCGGACUGAACAUCAUGCCGGUUCUUUCUUGGUGCACUUCAUUGUGUGCCUCGAGAUGGCCGGUGCUUUUACUUUGAAAAAAUUAGAGUGCUCAACGCAGGCGAGUCGCCUGAAUAAACUUGCAUGGAAUAAUAGAACAAGACCUCGUUUCUGUUCUGUUGGUUUUUGGAAUACGAGGUAAUGAUUAAGAGGGACGGACGGGGGCAUUCGUAUUGCGGCGCUAGAGGUGAAAUUCUUGGACCGUCGCAAGACGAACUACUGCGAAAGCAUUUGCCAAGAAUGUUUUCAUUGAUCAAGAACGAAAGUCAGAGGUUCGAAGGCGAUCAGAUACCGCCCUAGUUCUGACCAUAAACGAUGCCAACCAGCGAUCCGCCUGAGUUACUCAAAUGACUCGGCGGGCAGCUUCCGGGAAACCAAAGUAUUUGGGUUCCGGGGGAAGUAUGGUUGCAAAGCUGAAACUUAAAGGAAUUGACGGAAGGGCACCACCAGGAGUGGAGCCUGCGGCUUAAUUUGACUCAACACGGGAAAACUUACCCGGCCCGGACACUGGGAGGAUUGACAGAUUGAGAGCUCUUUCUUGAUUCGGUGGAUGGUGGUGCAUGGCCGUUCUUAGUUGGUGGAGCGAUUUGUCUGGUUAAUUCCGAUAACGAACGAGACUCUAGCCUAUUAAAUAGGUGCGGGGUUCCCAGCACCUUACAACCUUCUUAGAGGGACAAGCGGCUCCUAGCCGCACGAAACAGAGCAAUAACAGGUCUGUGAUGCCCUUAGAUGUCCGGGGCCGCACGCGCGCUACACUGAAGGAAGCAGCGUGUCUUUAUCCCUGUCUGAAAAGACUGGGUAACCCGUGGAACUUCUUUCGUGAUUGGGAUAGGGGCUUGCAAUUGUUCCCCUUGAACGAGGAAUUCCCAGUAAGCGCGAGUCAUAAGCUCGCGUUGAUUACGUCCCUGCCCUUUGUACACACCGCCCGUCGCUACUACCGAUUGAAUGAUUUAGUGAGGUCUUCGGACCGAUGUCCGGCGCGGCCUUUCGGUUGCGCCGGUCUGUUGGAAAGAUGACCAAACUUGAUCAUUUAGAGGAAGUAAAAGUCGUAACAAGGUUUCCGUAGGUGAACCUGCGGAAG